rnacentral:rRNA from 1 species
GCUUAACACAUGCAAGUCGAGGGGUAACAUAGGAGUGCUUGCACUCUUGAUGACGACCGGCGGACGGGUGAGUNACGCGUAUAUAACCUACCUUUUAGCGGGGGAUAGCCCAGGGAAACUUGGAUUAAUAUCCCAUGGUAUGUAAGGUCCACCUGGAUUUUACAUUAAACAUUUAUGGCUAUUAGAUGGGUAUGCGUCCUAUUAGUUAGAUGGUAAGGUAACGGCUUACCAUGGCAGCGAUAGGUAGGGGUCCUGAGAGGGAGAUCCCCCACACUGGUACUGAGACACGGACCAGACUCCUACGGGAGGCAGCAGUGAGGAAUAUUGGACAAUGGAGGCAACUCUGAUCCAGCCAUGCCGCGUGCAGGAAGACUGCCCUAUGGGUUGUAAACUGCUUUUACAGAGGAAGAACCACUCCCACGUGUGGGGGUUUGACGGUACUCUGCGAAUAAGGAUCGGCUAACUCCGUGCCAGCAGCCGCGGUAAUACGGAGGAUCCAAGCGUUAUCCGGAAUCAUUGGGUUUAAAGGGUCCGUAGGCGGGAUAAUAAGUCAGUGGUGAAAGUCUGCAGCUUAACUGUAGAAUUGCCAUUGAAACUGUUGUUCUUGAGUUAUUAUGAAGUGGUUAGAAUGAGUAGUGUACGGUGAAAUGCAUAGAUAUUACUCAGAAUACCGAUUGCGAAGGCAGAUCACUAAUAAUACACUGACGCUGAUGGACNAAAGCGUAGGUAGCGAACAGGAUUAGAUCCCUGGAGUCUACCCGUAAACGAUGGUACUACUGC